GAUGAAGAACGUAGCGAAAUGCGAUACGUAAUGUGAAUUGCAGAAUUCAGUGAAUCAUCGAAUCUUUGAACGCACAUUGCGCCCGCCAGUAUUCUGGCGGGCAUGCCUGUUCGAGCGUCAUUUCAACCAUCAAGCCCCAGGCUUGUGUUGGAGCCCUGCGGCCGCCCGCAGCCUCCUAAAACCAGUGGCGGGCUCGCUGUCACACCGAGCGUAGUAGCAUACAUCUCGCUCCGGGCGUGCUGCGGGUUCCGGCCGUUAAACCACCUUCAUAACCCAAGGUUGACCUCGGAUCAGGUAGGAAGACCCGCUGAACUUAAGCAUAUCAAUAAGCGGAGA
rnacentral:misc_RNA from 1 species